UAUUAUUAUGCACAUCAGCAAUAUACGUUCUGCCUGAGAAGGCAGUUCAGUUGAAUAAAUACUUAAAUGGUAGUGGAAUUAUGAAUCAACAUAGCGAGAUGAAAUACUGGUCGUGGAUCGGUGCUUUCACGCUAUCGGUCCUGUUCUGGGGCCAGAUGGCCUGGAUGCUGAUCAACUAAUCCUCCGCAAAGACCCGGCCCUGGCGCCGGGUUUUGUUUUUC
rnacentral:sRNA from 1 species